AGGUUGCAGCGAGCCACUGCACUCCAGCCUGGGAGGCAGAGUGAAACUCUCUCUCAAAAAAAAAAAAAAAAAAAAAAAGAUUGUUCUCCAAGAUAUUUUCUAAAAUUCCUGGACAAUGAUGACAUUAAUGAUUUGCAGGAGUAACCUGGGAAUUUCAAUGAAAGUGAGAUCCAAGAGUUUGGAACAUUCCUCUUCCACCCCCAACCCACCACCCUCAACCCAAGUUCCAAUCAAAAAGUCUGGGUGGUGGUGUGCUGGUACAUGUUUAACAACCGGCUCUUUGUGGAAGAAGUCCUGAUUCACAGUGCUUGCCAAUUUCCAUGGUGUAACUACUCCCACCAUGGCCAAUCAAGCUACCCUCUUGACAAAACUGAAUGAAGAGUUGGGGGCGACGUGUACCCUCAGUUCUCCUCAGCUGGCAUGAGCUGGCUCCUGCACACUCCCGAGUCUCAAAAAGAUGGGACUGCAAUACCGGUGUAAAUUAGUAGCAGAAACCCAAUUAACCAUAUAGCCUAUUGGAAGGAAUUCUCUGCAAACUAAAAGACAGGUGAUCAUGGAAAAAAAAAAGGAAACAGAAAAACAAAGAGCCAAGUCCCCAGUGCCUGUAUGGG
rnacentral:lncRNA from 1 species